AAGCUGGCUCAGCACCAUCGAUGCCUGCUCGCCGCCCAUCACCGAGAUGCGCGCGUUCGGCCACAUCCAGAGGAAGCGUGGGCUAUAGGCGCGGCCGCACAUGCCGUAGUUGCCGGCGCCGUAAGAUCCCCACCGAUCACCACGGUGAACUUCGGCACCGAGGCGGUUGCGACGGCAGUUACAAGCUUGGCGCCGUCGCGGGCGAUACCGCCCGCCUCGUAUUUCUUGCCGACCAUGAAGCCGG
rnacentral:misc_RNA from 1 species